rnacentral:rRNA from 1 species
UACGAAGGGGGCGAGCGUUGUUCGGAAUUACUGGGCGUAAAGGGCGCGUAGGCGGCGACCCAAGUCAGAUGUGAAAGUCCUGGGCUUAACCUGGGGGACUGCAUUUGAUACUGGGGUUGCUUGAAUUCGGGAGAGGAUAGCGGAAUUCCCAGUGUAGAGGUGAAAUUCGUAGAUAUUGGGAGGAACACCAGUGGCGAAAGCGGCUACCUGGCCCAUUCUUGACGCUGAGGCGCGAAAGCUAGGGGAGCAAACGGGG